UACGGAGGGUGCGAGCGUUGUUCGGAAUCACUGGGCGUAAAGGGCGUGUAGGCGGUCCGCUAAGUCUGAUGUGAAAGCCCGGGGCUCACCCCCGGAAGGGCAUUGGAAACUGACGGGCUCGAGUCCCGAAGAGGAGGGUGGAAUUCCUGGUGUAGCGGUGAAAUGCGUAGAUAUCAGGAGGAACACCGGUGGCGAAGGCGGCCCUCUGGACGGUGACUGACGCUGAGACGCGAAAGCGUGGGGAGCAAACAGG
rnacentral:rRNA from 1 species